AGCGAUUCCAAGUCAUUUAUGACUUGCUGGGACUGACAGAUCGGUCACCUGGUCAUUCGUUUUGUUAUUGUGUGAGCUUUAGUAUUUUUGAAGCUUAUGAACCUUGAACGAUCAUUUUCGAUCAAAAGUUCAAGAAGAUGACAUCAGAAUCCAAUUCUGACGAUUCCAUCAGUUCCGGAAGGGUCAUUUUAGUCCAGUAGCAUUGUCGACAUGACUCCCAAAGUUUUCAGUGUGAGUUGGUGGGAUUAGGCGUUUUAACUUUAAGUUUAAAGGCUAAGUUUGACUUUAGUCAACAUUCUGAGUAAACGCGCUCGGAUGAGAAUUCCGUCAGCGCGGUUAGCUCCGGAAUGUCGAGUUUGGUCUAGUUUGACCCUUCUUUCGGGUUUUGAGGUUUUUGAUAUUUUUCCGAGCCCUUUUGUGGUUUUUGACUUAAAAUGGCCAAUGGAAGUGGGACCCACAUUUUAUCGAGAUGACCUCUGAUGAAAAUUUCGACUGCGCCUUUGAGUCCGGAAUGUCGACUUUGGUAGGGUAGCAUAUCUAUUUUAUUUUUAUCAGGUUCCGAACGGAUUCCGAGCACCCGUCGGAGACUUUAAAGAAAGUAGGCAAAGCUGAAUCUGGUGCAGCCCCUAUAAAAACCCCAACUUUCAGCUUUAUGUUUUACUUUGGAACUUGAUAUCUUGAGCGAUACAACUCCGAAUUGGGCGAUUCAAAAGGCUAAGUUGUGAGAUUUUUCGAGGGCAACACAUUGGUGAGCUUGGAAUCUGAUUUGGGGACACGAUUUGAGGUCCGAAUCAAGUGAUUCAAGAGCCUAUAUUGUGGGGUUUUUCGUGAGGAUCGUCGUGGUGUGAUUGGUUUUGGCUGUUGGAGCUUCAUUUUUGGUAAAAUCUGUGUAUCAACGUUUCGAGGCCUUUUAGAAAGUAAAAGAUCCGGGGAGUGAAUUUUGGAGCGCGCGUGAUCUGCGUUCAGGUCCGAGCACCAGUAGUCAGCGUUGAUCGAGUUUGGAGAAUUUCUGGUCUGGAGACAGGGGAUGGCUCGCACGCGAGGCGGUGCGUUCGGGGGAGAUGCACCCGGAGCCUCAGCUUGGGGUAGACGUCGACCACGAGGUCGAGGUAGGGCUGCAGCACCGGCCCGGGUUAUGGAGGAGGAGCCUCAUGCAGCGCAUGUACCGCCACAGCCACUGGGGCCGGGGCCUGCCCAGCCACCACCCGCACCAGUUGCUGAUCUUCAUUCCCUCUUGACUCGGAUAUUAGCAGCUAUUGGGGAUAUGCGACAGGCACCAGCACCAG